rnacentral:rRNA from 1 species
CACCAGCGCCACAAGUGGCCAUCACGAUUAUUGGGCCUAAAGCGUCCGUAGUCGGUUGUACGCAUCCUCUGUGAAAUCGCAGCGCUUAACGUUGCGGCAUGCGGAGGACACGGUACAGCUCGAGAGCGGGAGGCGUCGGGGGUACUCCAAGGGGACCGGUAAAAUGGUAUAAUCCUUGGAAGACCACCUGUGGCGAAGGCGCCCGACGAGAACGCAUCUGACGAUGAGGGACGAAAGCCAGGGGAGCAAACCGG